rnacentral:misc_RNA from 1 species
UCACGGUUUGCACCGGCAGUCUUGUUAGAGUUCCCGACAUUACUCGCUGGCAACUAACAACAGGGGUUGCGCUCGUUAUAGGACUUAACCUGACACCUCACGGCACGAGCUGACGACAACCAUGCAGCACCUUGUAACUUGUCUUGCGAAAGAUCUGUUUCCAAAUCGGUCAAGCUACAUUUAAGCCCUGGUAAGGUUCCUCGCGUAUCAUCGAAUUAAACCACAUGCUCCACCGCUUGUGCGGGCCCCCGUCAAUUCCUUUGAGUUUCAUUCUUGCGAACGUACUCCCCAGGUGGGUUACUUAUCACUUUCGCUUAGCCACUCAGAAUUACUUCCGAACAGCUAGUAACCAUCGUUUACGGCGUAGACUAC